CCUACGGGUGGCAGCAGUCGAGAAUCAUUCACAAUGGGGGAAACCCUGAUGGUGCGACGCCGCGUGGGGGAAUGAAGGUCUUCGGAUUGUAAACCCCUGUCAUGUGGGAGCAAAUUAAAAAGAUAGUACCACAAGAGGAAGAGACGGCUAACUCUGUGCCAGCAGCCGCGGUAAUACAGAGGUCUCAAGCGUUGUUCGGAACCACGGGGCGUAAAGCGUGCGUAGGCUGUUUCGUAAGUCGUGUGUGAAAGGCGCGGGCUCAACCCGCGGACGGCACAUGAUACUGAGAGACUAGAGGAAUGGAGGGGGAACCGGAAUUCUCGGUGUAGCAGUGAAAUGCGUAGAUAUCGAGAGGAACACUCGUGGCGAAGGCGGGUUCCUGGACAUUAACUGACGCUGAGGCACGAAGGCCAGGGGAGCGAAAGGGAUUAGAUACCCUUGUAGUC
rnacentral:rRNA from 1 species